rnacentral:rRNA from 1 species
GACGAACGCUGGCGGCGUGCCUAAUACAUGCAAGUCGAACGCAGUGGGGACGGGUGAGUAACACGUGGGUCACCUCCCAUAAGAGGGGAUAACACUUGGAAACAGGUGCUAAACCGCUACUGAUGGAGCGACCCGCGGUGCAUUAGCUAGUUGGUGAGGUAACGGCUCACCAAGGCCACGAUGCAUAGCCGACCUGAGAGGUGGAGCGGCACCACUGGGACGGAGAAAAGGCCCAGACUCCUACGGGAGGCAGCAGUAGGGAAGCUUCGGAAUGGACGAAAGUCGGACCGAGCAACGCCGCGUGAGUGAAGAAGGUUUUCGGAUCGUAAAACUCUGUUGUUAGAGAAGCGGUAUCUAACCAGAAAGCCACGGCUAACUACGUGCCAGCAGCCGAGGUAAUUC